rnacentral:rRNA from 1 species
AACGAACGCUGGCGGCGUACUUAACACAUGCAAGUCGAACGAGAAAGGGGGCUUCGGCUCCUGAGUACAGUGGCGAACGGGUGCGUAACACGUAAGCAAUCUACCCCAGACACUGGGAUAACUUUCCGAAAGGAAAGCUAAUACUAGAUAGGGUCCUUGAGGCACAAGUCGCAGGGGGAAAGCGGGCCUAGGUUUUCUGCUCGCGGUUUGGGAUGAGCUUGCGGCCCAUUAGCUUGUUGGUAGGGUAAUGGCCUACCAAGGCGACGAUGGGUAGCUGGUCUGAGAGGAUGAUCAGCCACACUGGCACUGAGACACGGGCCAGACUCCUACGGGAGGCAGCAGUGGGGAAUUUUGCGCAAUGGGCGAAAGCCUGACGCAGUAACGCCGUGUGGAGGAUGAAGGCCUUCGGGUUGUAAACUCCUGUCAGGAGGAACGAUGGAAUGAGAGCGAAGAGUUCCCAUUCCAAGACGGUACCUCCAAAGGAAGCCCCGGCUAAUUCCGUGCCAGCCGCCGCCGUAACAC